CGGACGGGUGAGUAACACGUGGAUAACCUACCUAUAAGACUGGGAUAACUUCGGGAAACCGGAGCUAAUACCGGAUAAUAUAUUGAACCGCAUGGUUCAAUAGUGAAAGACGGUUUUGCUGUCACUUAUAGAUGGAUCCGCGCCGCAUUAGCUAGUUGGUAAGGUAAUGGCUUACCAAGGCAACGAUGCGUAGCCGACCUGAGAGGGUGAUCGGCCACACUGGAACUGAGACACGGUCCAG
rnacentral:rRNA from 1 species